rnacentral:rRNA from 1 species
CGUACAUCCAGAGAACUUAGCAGAGAUGCUUUGGUGUCUUCGGGAACUCUGAGACAGGUGCUGCAUGGCUGUCGUCAGCUCGUGUUGUGAAAUGUUGGGUUAAGUCCCGCAACGAGCGCAACCCUUAUCCUUUGUUGCCAGCGGUUCGGCCGGGAACUCAAAGGAGACUGCCGGUGAUAAACCGGAGGAAGGUGGGGAUGACGUCAAGUCAUCAUGGCCCUUACGGCCAGGGCUACACACGUGCUACAAUGGCGCAUACAAAGAGAAGCGACCUCGCGAGAGCAAGCGGACCUCAUAAAGUGCGUCGUAGUCCGGAUUGGAGUCUGCAACUCGACUCCAUGAAGUCGGAAUCGCUAGUAAUCGUAGAUCAGAAUGCUACGGUGAAUACGUUCCCGGGCCUUGUACACACCGCCCGUCACACCAUGGGAGUGGGUUGCAAAAGAAGUAGGUAGCUUAACCUUCGGGAGGGCGCUUACCACUUUGUGAUUCAUGACUGGGGUGAAGUCGUAACAAGGUAAGCGUAGCGAG